rnacentral:lncRNA from 1 species
UAAAGUAUGGUAAAUAUGUAAACCAGUUUCAAAGUUGUUUAUUAUCAAGUAUUAUGCGCUAUACUUCUAUGACUAGCAGCGCAGCAGGCUUGUUUAUAUCAGCAUCACCACAAACACGUGAGUAAAUGCGUUGGGCUAUGUCACUAGGCGAUGGAAAUAUUUCAGUCUCAUUAUAAUUUUACUGGAGUAUUGACCUAUAGGCAGACCAUGUUGACUGAGAUGUUAUAUAAUGCACCGAUGCUGUACAAUGUUAGAAGUCAGAAUAGCUGUUGUCUUUUUUCUGAGAGAUGGGGUUCUCACUAUGUUGCCCAGGAUGGUCUCCAACUCCUGGGCUCAUGCGAUCCUCCCACCUCAGCCUCCCGUAAGUGCUGGAAUUACAGGUGUGAGUCACCCCACCCAGUCAGUAACUGUUAUCUUUGUAGAAGAGGAAGGAAGCAGAUUGUCAGAUGACACUAGGAGAGUUUUUGGGGUGCGGUGAACAUUCUAUUUCUUGUCUACAUGGUGAUUACACAUGUAGUAAUUUAGUGAUAAUUCUUUGAGCUGAACAUUUGAGUUGUACAAACUUCUGUACAUAAUUUAUCAAUUUUUAAAACAUUUGAAAAAUCAUCUCUUCCUGCUGUUUGCAAAUGAUAGAACCUUAGCUUAAACUGGCCUAUGUACGAAGGGGAACUUUUAAUAAGCAUACCAAGAUGCCUAGUGGAAUCCAUGGACAGGAGUAAUACAGGGCCUCCUGUAUUGAGCCAGGAGCUCAAAUACUACCAGAAACUUCUCUUCUUACUACAAAUGUUUCCUCCAGGUCAGUGACCACUGACAUGGUAUAAUCAUUUUAUAUAAUAUGCACUGAGACAUUUGUGAUGUGUACCUACUGUAUUGUUUGCUCAAGACCUGGCCUACUUUCUUGGGACAGCAUCACCUUCAGGGAAAAUGGUCUUUCCCCAUUCCAUCCAUAUGGUUUUCACAGUAGAAAACCAUAGCUAGUGUUCUACCUCAACGCCAAUCCUCUAGUCACAGUCAAUUAGUCCAGUAAUGUGCACCUGACCUGUCCUGGGAACCCUACUCCUAGAAUUUUUGGACUUGGAAAUUCUCGGGAGUACAGUGCAGAAAUCUGUUUUAAUAGCCCUUCCGGUGAUCAAGUUUAAUAACUCUACUGAAGACUAGCCUAUUUGGUUGUGCCUGUUAUUUCUUUAAAGGUGGUUUAAAACUGGCAUUGUACUCAAUCAAUACUGUCAAUUCAUGGUAGAUGGGAGGCAGGGGUGGUGGUGGGGGGCAUUCAAGUAUCAACAAAGGAUACGAUACGAAGGACUACAAUAAUAUAGUUUGGCAAAGUUUUAGAAUAUUUAUAAACUCUUUCCAGAACUAAAUGGCUUUUUUUUGUAGCAGCAGAAUCCAUCUACAUCAUGGUAGUCAUGAAUUCAGACUUCAGAAAAAGUUACUGUCAAGCAUAUGAUUACAAUUUUAGAAGGAAAAAGAAACAAAGACAUUAUCUUCAAAUUUAAGUGGCUGACUACCUAUUGAAUUAGGUACUUUUUCUUCUUUAUAAUUUAUUAUAUAUUUCUCAAAUUUCAAUAUGUAUAGAGGCUAGGCGUGGUGGCUCAUGUCUGUAAUCCCAGCACUUUGGGAGGCUGAGGCGGGAGAAUCGCAUGAGCCCAGGAGUUCGAGACCAUCCUGGGCAAAAUAGUGAGACCCCAUCUCAUAAAAAAAAAAAGAAAGUUUUUCUCUUUAGGAAACUAAAAGUCAAUAGUCUAUGGUAGUACAACAGCAGACAACUAUCAUUUUUUACCUUUAUACUUUUUAAUAUUUUUAGUUUAUGUUCU